GCCCAAGGGGCAAAAUGGACAUUUUACCCCUCAGCCCAUUACAGGGGUCUUGAGGGUUCUCCACAGAAUUCCUGCAAAAGAGAGAAGUGUGAGAAAGAAGGUUGAGAGAAAGUUUGAGAGAGAAAACUGAAUAGCCGGAGUCUUCGUCGGAGAGUCACCGACGGAAUCCAUUCCCUACUAAGACCUACACUCUGGAGUCCUCCUUGGAAAGAAGUAAGAACUCGUGUUGUUGAGAUUUCCUCCUCUUUCGUCAAGAUCAGAAAGAAAACCCAUAAGGUAAGGAAGAUCCGCCACUGAUUUUGCGAGGAAAUCGGAUGAAACGUCGAGAUCUGAGAAUCUUUCCAAGAACGGAGGAGAGAGAAGUCGCUGGCAUGCCACGUGUCAACCGACUAGAGGACCGCGUGCGUCAACCACCUUCGGACACGCAUUGAACGCCGCUUGGGAAAAUGCAGCUCCAGCCUCCCUACGACACGCGUCCCCGGCAACGCAACCCGACCCGCAUCCCUCGGCUGACCCGGUACCCGCGCGGCGAAC